rnacentral:snRNA from 2 species
AGCUUUGCGCAGUGGCAUUACCGUAGCUGAUGAGGUCCAUCCGACGCGCGGUUAUUGCUGAUUGAAAACUUUUCCCAAUACCCCGCGAGACGACUUGAAACAUAGUCGGCUUUGCAAUUUUUGUGGGCCCUAUUUAGGG